GACGAGCGCUGGCGGCGUGCCUAACACAUGCAAGUCGAGCGAAUGAAGUUCCUUCGGGAAUGGAUUUAGCGGCGGACGGGUGAGUAACACGUGGGCAACCUGCCUCAUAGAGGGGAAUAGCCUUCCGAAAGGGAGAUUAAUACCGCAUAAGAUUGUAGUACCGCAUGAUACAGCAAUUAAAGGUGCAAUCCGCUAUGAGAUGGGCCCGCGGCGCAUGAGCUAGUUGGUGAGGUAACGGCUGAACAAGGCGACGAUAAGUAGCCGACCUAGAGAUGUGAUCGGCCACACUGGGACUGUUCCACGGCCCAGACUCCUACGGGAGGCAGAAGUGGGGAAUAUUGCACAAUGGGGGAAACCCUGAUGCAGCAACGCCGCGUGAGUGAUGACGGCCUUCGGGUUGUAAAGCUCUGUCUGCGGGGACGAUAAUGACGGUACCUGAGGAGGAAGCCACGGCUAACUACGUGCCAGCCGCCGCGGUAAAAC
rnacentral:rRNA from 1 species